CCCUUCUGAACAUGUCAUCAUGUCAGCCUCUCUGUCAUUUUAAGAUGGAGCAGCGUCUGACUCCAAGUCUCUCCUCUGUUUCUUAACAUUUAAAAGUACACCUAUUUAUACCUUAGGUGUCUCCAUUUUAGGGUCACCGUAGUUCAUAUAUGAAAAAGUAACUUUUUUACUUUAUUCAUUUUAGGACCUCCCUUAACUUGGCAAACAU
rnacentral:lncRNA from 1 species